GCACACUUAGCUCAGUGGUUAGAGCAUCCUUCUAGAGUUUGGGGUAAAACAAGUCAUGGGUUCAAAUACCAUAGCUAAUA